AUAAAUCUGGGAAAGAAAAAUGCGAAAAGUACUAAAGUUAAGGAAAUUGGUGGCAACGAAGUCGAAAUAGGAAGAUUUUGAAGAAAUGGGACACCAAACUAGUUAUGUCCAUGACCCUGUCUGUUUUUUGGCUGCUUUUAAGACAAGAAAAUAAUGACCACCCCAGACAAAAAAAAAAGAAAGAAAAAUUGACAUAAUUCCCAUCAGAACAUUAUUU